rnacentral:rRNA from 1 species
GACGAACGCUGGCGGCGUGCUUAACACAUGCAAGUCGAACGGAAAGGCCCUGCUUUUGUGGGGUGCUCGAGUGGCGAACGGGUGAGUAACACGUGAGUAACCUGCCCUUGACUUUGGGAUAACUUCAGGAAACUGGGGCUAAUACCGGAUAGGAGCUCCUGCUGCAUGGUGGGGGUUGGAAAGUUUCGGCGGUUGGGGAUGGACUCGCGGCUUAUCAGCUUGUUGGUGGGGUAGUGGCUUACCAAGGCUUUGACGGGUAGCCGGCCUGAGAGGGUGACCGGCGACAUGGGGACUGAGGGACGGCCCAGACUCCUACGGGAGGCAGCAGGGGGGAAUAUUGCACAAUGGGCGGAAGCCUGAUGCGGCAACGCCGCGUGCGGGAUGACGGCCUUCGGGUUGUAAACCGCUUUCGCCUGUGACGAAGCGUGAGUGACGGUAAUGGGUAAAGAAGCACCGGCUAACUACGUG